UCAGCGGGCGCAGCGGGGAGGAGAGGCGGGCUUCGCUGCGCCCUGUCCUGGGAGGCGGGGCUACAAAGGACGGACAACACGGCGGGCCAAUGGGAGGCGGCGGCCGCGCCGGGCUGGCCGCGAUCUGCAGGGGUGUUUCCUGUGCUGGGGAAAGAGGCGGGGCCGGCUGUGAUUGGCAGGAGUGUUGAGCGAAACUAAAGAGAAAUCAAGAUCCCCUCCACGCGUCUCUUGAUCUUCACCAGACUUGAAGAACCUGUAGUUCUUAGAGCUGGAGUUACAUCUACAGGAGUAAUUACCCAAUAAAACCAGAAAGGAAAUCAGUUUUGUUGAGUAGUAAAACACAAUCCUGGCUUGGUCCUUCUUGUGACAUGUUCAUAAAAGAAAAGGAACUGGAGAAAUUACCUCUGUAUAAAUAAAAAUAUCUCAGAAGUAUUUAGCAACCAAAGGAUGUUAAGUGAAAGUUUCUCUUGAAAUCACCUUUCCAGUCCUUGUCAGGGUGAAUGCCCUGUUGUUGGGUCCCUGGGACAUGGACACAGCCCUGCUGCUGUGGCUGGGCUGAAAAGCACUGGCUGGGCAGGAAUUUGGCUUUUUGUUACUGGAGACUCCGAACGCUGGGAUCCAGAACACUGCUGGCUCUGGAAAUCACCCAUUUAUGAACCACUUCUCUUUAGAUUAGAAGCCAAAAAAAAUCUAUAAUGGCUACAAGUCCUCCACUAGAGCUGCUGAGUGAAUUGCUGCAUGGCACAAGUGCUGCUGUUUAGGGACUGGGUGCAGCCUGAACGGGGAGACCAGGGUGGAGUCCUGUGCUUCUGUGUGCUUGUUUUCUAUCUGCAAGCAUUGCAAAGAGAAUUCAGUCUUACACUUUUGGAGCAAAAAGGGAGGGAAAGUUGUGCUUUCAUUGCAAAGAAGUUGCUUACAGGAUGACUAACUUCCUUGUGAGACUCAUCCUUAGCUGCAUAGUAAACCUAGAGCAGCUUCGUGGAAAGUAAGAUCUCUUGACAGAGACUGGAAAUACUUUGAAAUUUAUAUUUAUGUUACAUUAAAAGUUUUGUAUCUUGAAACUGGAUGUUUCUGUCACUUUGUCACCUGCCUUAUCUCUGAGCUUUGGUGCCUUCACACAAAUGUGAUAGUGUGUUCUUUUUGUAGGAUCAUAUUUGUGAAAUGACUUCUUGAUUAAUGUUACAGGAAAUAUUUCUGAAAGUUUGACAAGCUCCAACUGGUUAGGUUCAAAGCAUUGAAAACUGAUGAUGUCUAAACCUGCUUUGCUGAAAGUCAGAUAUAAAUUUAUUCAAAACUGAAGAAUAGGUGACAAAGACUAACUUUUUUAUUCCAAUACAGUAGGAAAACCUACCCUGUUAAAUCUCAGAUAAGAACUGUAUUUUUCACAAGUAUCUUCUAAAACUUUUUAAACCUAUGGAUGUUUGCUUAUAUAAAGUAUGAACUUGUUUGUCUUAUGCAAAAAAUUGGUGCACUCAUUAUUUCCAUAACUGUUAGUACGUUUUUGGGCUUAAUGUAGACUCUAUAGAAUGCUAAAAUAAUUGGUUAUGAUCUGUCUGAACAAAGUAGAAUGUUUGUGCAUAUGUAACAAUGGAUGCAUGAAAAUAUUAAGAUGAAAUUGCAUUUAGGUGUUAGACUUAGAUAUUUAGAAUUGUAAAAAGGAAAGAUAGAGGUUUUGGUAAGUGGCUUUCUUUUGUGUGUGAUCCCAUGCAUUUAGGGUUUAAUUUGCAGGGGAUAAAGGGUUAGAGCCUGCCUGUGCAAACAGAAGCAAGUAACAGUGCCAAGGAUUUAUACAUUUUUCUAAAUUUUAAAGCAUCUAACAGAGCUGUUCUUCUGUCUUGCCAGAAAAGGCAGGAUUUUGACCCUUUGGCAGUAUCUUUAAUGAGAGAGACUCCCUUUUUGAACAUUACCUGACCGAAAGGUGCUGACACCGUUGAAUCAACACAACUGUCCUGGCUUGUUUUUUAAAUAUUUGUAGGGAGUUCACAGGAGAUAAGCUGACAACCAAGACAGAGACUCUAGAAAUGUAUUGUUUGUGACCUCGUGUCUCACAUGCAAGAAGAGGGUUUUGUAGGAAUAAGUGUGCAGUGAGUUCAUGAGUCAAUAGCCCAGGCGGGGCACGGGGCAGCAGCAGCGCUCCCGAGUCAGCUGCUUGCUGGGGCUGUGUAAAAUAUUCAGAAUUUGCAAGAGGAACUGAAUCCAGAAGCAAAUUUUUUUAUAACUAAAAAAUAAAAAAGUCUCUUUUUUAUUAACUAAAACUGGAUGUUUACACCAAGGCAACAAUAUUUGUAUCUAUCAUGGCCUGUUUCCACUGGCUCUGUAAAAACAAUAAAGUGAUGAGAAACAUGCUAGUUAAAGGUGCAUAGAACCCAGUCUGAUGUUAGUGAUGCACAUACUCCCAAACCUAAAUAAUUAUAUAAAAGAUUGGAAAAAGUCUUAAUUGUGAAAAUAUGUUAGCAGUAUGUAAGAAUGUUGUAAACUUUCUGGGACAGUUUUUAUCCAGACAAAACUGCAGCUGAAUGGUUUUCUAAUCUUCUAUAGACAAUAAAUAUAAAUUGCUAAUAGAUCUACUAAAAUUAAUAUAAACUAAACUGUAAAAUAAUGUCAAUAUAAAAAAAUUAAAUCAACAGAGAUCCUUGAUUUUUAAUUUCCUUUUACAUUCUAUGUAAAGAUGGACAAAUUAAUUUUGAGAGGGUCCUGUUUGGGAGAACCUAUCUCAUAUUCUGUGGAUGUCUAGAGAACUCUGCAUUUACACCUUAUAAAUUUAAUUCACAAAGCUGCUGUGCUCAGCUCAGACGUGAUGGCAGGAUCAGUGCCUUCAAAAUAUUUAAGUGUAUUUUUUUACUAAUUACUUUUCCAAUAGGUCAGCUGUAUCAAAGCACUAUUUGCCUAAUGGUCAACUGAACAAGUAAUUUAUUGUCAGUUGAUAGAAAAGAGUGGCAUUUCAAAUGCUGUAUUUAUCUUACAUUCAAUCAUUGGAAUGAAAAAUGUUAUGGUAAUAUAUAUAAAAUAUAUUAAAUGUUAUACUAGUACAUUUAUAAUUGAUAAAGUAGAAAAUAUUUGUGUCUCAUCUUGAGGAAAAUUGAAUUUUUGUUUUUGCAGAAAGAGGAUACAGGUCCCUAAUUGUAAUAAUAUAUUUUGUCUUUUCUCCGUCCGUUUGGCAAGUAAUGAUCAUUUCUGUUUUCAUAGAAUUUAUUAACUUUUAAACUAUCAUUUAUUCAAUUACAAGCAAACUGUUUACAGUUAAAACCUUUAGGUUAAAAUCAGUUGCAGGUAAUUUUAGUUGUAUUUUAAUAGACUACUUUUUGUGAUUAACUGUAAAUAGUGACUUACUGUAAAAAGUGGUACAUGUUUCUUGAAAUACUUUUUCCUUUUUUCUUUACUUGAAACUAAACUGUUAACACUAUAUUUUCAGUUUUGAAAACUAAAACAGUUUAUAGAUUUAUUCAAUGUGAAUUGAUAUAGGAAGGAAGAAAGAACUUAUUGUGGUAUUUUCUUGCCUGUCUUUUUUAGAAAGGGAAAAAAUCUGUGAAAUUAUUAAAUUUCUAGAUAGAAAUUAAUCAUUCUUGAUUUGUUUUUUACCUCUGUAGCAAUUUAGCAGGAACAGUAGGACUAAAUAAAGUCAAUAUUUUGAUAUAUGAGGCAUAACAUUUUUUGACUAAUUAAUCACAAGUGUUUGUUCUUCAUCAGCCAUGAUUCUUUAUUUUAUGAUCUCCCAUUUUAAUUGGAAUCCCACAAUAGGCAAAAUUUUUACUAACUAAAUUCCUAAAUUUACUGCAAGGAUUCCAAAACAGACUCUAGAUUGAUUUUAAUAUUCAGUUGCCCUAGAGCUUCAGAAAAUAAAUGAAAAUAGAAGAGCCAAUCCAUGGAGUUAUGGAGAUUGGUGAGCAGCCAGCUCCAGUACUGACACAGGUGGGGAGAAAUAAAGCCAGAGAAGCAGCAAGUGCUGAGCCAGGUAUGCUGUGCCAUACAACUGGUGGAGAGAAACAUGGCACAAAUGAAAUUUUAAAAAAUCUAAAAACCUGGCUGCUGAACAGAUGCAUGUGUUGUGUAUGUCUCCUGUGUUUUCUAAUGUCUUUUCACAGUUCAUUUACUCAUUAAUGUAAAAGUAACGGGAUAUAGAGGAUGGCACAUGACUGAAAUAUUAGCAUGCAUAUGGUAGUGGUUUUUACGGUAUGGCUUUUGCUGUUUCCAAAGUCUGUUUAGGAAGCAAAACCAUCCUGAUUUAAAUUGUUAUUCUUUCCUGAAUACUGUAGGGUUUGCCUGCCAUUGUGUGAAUUGAUCUAGUUCUCCUGAUUUCUUUAAAGAAUUUACUCUCCUUGGGACAACACAGCACAGCUGUGGGAAAUUAAUCCAGAUAGCUGUAAGCCAGCUAGAGCUGAAUCAAGAGUCUCCCUGUAUUUUGGCAUAUCCUCUUCUGAAGUGUGAUAUGAGCUGUAAAAAGUAACCCUGAUGAAUGGUGUUCUACAGCAUGUUAGCAAUUUUCCUCUCCAUUUCAUACUUCUGUGAUCACAUUGCUAACAAUCAAACCUGGGUCAUUUUUGCAGGUCAUGAAUUUAUUUGUAUGCCAUUCUCCUCAUUCAUAAGUAAUAUUCAGGCAUCAAGUAUUGUUUUGUUUGUGCAG